rnacentral:rRNA from 1 species
GAUGAACGCUAGCGGCAGGCUUAAUACAUGCAAGUCGAGGGGCAGCGGGAGUAGCAAUACUUGCCGGCGACCGGCGCACGGGUGCGUAACACGUAUGUAAUCUGCCCAUCACAGGAGGAUAGCCCGGAGAAAUUCGGAUUAAUACUCCAUAAUAGAAGAUAAAGCAUUUUAUUUUCUUGAAAGUUCCGACGGUGAUGGAUGAACAUGCGACUGAUUAGUUUGUUGGUGAGGUAACGGCUCACCAAGACUACGAUCAGUAGGGGUACUGAGAGGUUAAACCCCCACACUGGUACUGAGACACGGACCAGACUCCUACGGGAGGCAGCAGUAAGGAAUAUUGGACAAUAGGCCGGCCAAGGACGUGAUCCAGCCAUGCCGCGUGCAGGAAGACGGACC